UCAAUGUUGAAAGACGGUUUCGGCUGUCACUUAUAGAUGGACCCGCGCCGUAUUAGCUAGUUGGUAAGGUAACGGCUUACCAAGGCAACGAUACGUAGCCGACCUGAGAGGGUGAUCGGCCACACUGGAACUGAGACACGGUCCAGACUCCUACGGGAGGCAGCAGUAGGGAAUCUUCCGCAAUGGGCGAAAGCCUGACGGAGCAACGCCGCGUGAGUGAUGAAGGUCUUAGGAUCGUAAAACUCUGUUGUUAGGGAAGAACAAAUUUGUUAGUAACUGAACAAGUCUUGACGGUACCUAACCAGAAAGCCACGGCUAACUACGUGCCAGCAGCCGCGGUAAUACGUAGGUGGCAAGCGUUAUCCGGAAUUAUUGGGCGUAAAGCGCGCGUAGGCGGUUUCUUAAGUCUGAUGUGAAAGCCCACGGCUCAACCGUGGAGGGUCAUUGGAAACUGGGGAACUUGAGUGCAGAAGAGGAGAGUGGAAUUCCAUGUGUAGCGGUGAAAUGCGCAGAGAUAUGGAGGAACACCAGUGGCGAAGGCGGCUCUCUGGUCUGUAACUGACGCUGAUGUGCGAAAGCGUGGGGAUCAAACAGGAUUAGAUACCCUGGUAGUCCACGCCGUAAACGAUGAGUGCUAAGUGUUAGGGGGUUUCCGCCCCUUAGUGCUGCAGCUAACGCA
rnacentral:rRNA from 1 species